rnacentral:lncRNA from 1 species
CCAAAGGCCAAUGGAGUCAGUGCUUUGUUGGAGGACUGCCAUGGAAAUGGGGAGUGAUGCAGCUCCGGAGGAGGCACAUUACGCUGAGGCACUUUGAUGGUGUGUGACUUGGUUUAAGAAAUUGAAAGUCGACAUAAACCUUGCCUUAAUACUGCAGUCUGUGGAAGGAACAAGCACGGGCUUUCUGAGGGGUGAGGGCUUGCAACACGCGAGGCUUGUGAGCUGUUAGACCAAACAUCUGGGACCUCCAGAAUGGCUGCAUUGAUGGAUCCAGCAGAAGUCACAAAGGCAAACUGGCAGCUGUAUCACUACCAGUUGGUCACCAGCAAUCGUGACUGCAUACUUGAACAGACAUGCCAAAAAUAUUCUCUGCUAUGUCUCGGAGAGUUACUCUUCCUCUGGCAUUGGCUGUUAGGCUGUUUUCACUGUCUUGGGAGCUUCACAAAGGCCUUCUCGCAGGGGUUGCAAAUGUCAGUCGUCAUCUCCGAAGCUGCUGCAGGAAGCGUUC